GAGUUUAUAGUGGAGAAUUUUCCUUAGUUACAACCAAAGUGGUUGCAGCAAUUUAUCAAACAUAUUUAAUGCACAACAAUUAAGCGAGAUGAAGUUACCAAUUAGUUUCACACAAGAUUCAAUUUAUGCAGAAAUUAAAGAGUUAGAGAAAGACAGAACAACACCAAAUUUGUUUAGGCAGUUCCUCUUUCGUCCUCGCUUAGGGUACGUCU
rnacentral:lncRNA from 1 species